rnacentral:rRNA from 1 species
CACAAGCGGAGGAGCAUGUGGUUUAAUUCGAUGAUACGCGAGGAACCUUACCUGGGCUCGAACGUAAGAUGACUGUAGGUGAAAGCUUACAUCUCUUCGGAGCAUUUUACGAGGUGCUGCAUGGUUGUCGUCAGCUCGUGCCGUGAGGUGUCGGGUUAAGUCCCAUAACGAGCGCAACCCUACCUUUAGUUGCCAUCAGGUAAUGCUGGGGACUCUAAAGGAGCUGCCUACGCAAGUAGUGAGGAAGCGGGGAUGACGUCAAAUCAGCACGGCCCUUACGUCCAGGGCUACACACGUGCUACAAUGGCCGAUACAGAGGGCAGCUACCUGGUGACAGGAUGCAAAUCUCCAAAGUCGGUCUCAGUUCGGAUCGGAGUCUGCAACCCGACUCCGUGAAGUUGGAUUCGCUAGUAAUCGCGCAUCAGCCAUGGCGCGGUGAAUACGUUCCCGGGCCUU